rnacentral:lncRNA from 1 species
CUGCAAAGAUCCUAUUUCCAAAUAAGGUCACUUUGCAGUAAGUAAAGCAACAGUGAGCCUGCCGGGCAGACGGGGUCCUUGAGGAGACUGAGGAGCUGCAGAGAUAGAUCAAGGCAUAGGCACAUGGGGAGAGAAAACAGGCUGGGAUAACUCGUAAUUUCCCACCCAUAAUCCUAUUUGCCAGGCCCAGCUGGAAGCCCACAUCACCUGGAAAAAGCAGCCUACAGGUGUUGAUCCCUACUGCCAAGAAACCUUGGCCAUUCACUGGGAUCAACAGUGGCAAGAAGAAAACAACCGAGAAAAAGGGAAGAGGAAUUCCUUUACUUAUCGUAGGUAAAGUGUGCAUCCAUCCCCAAGAGGUGUCGGGGGAGGGUGGGAUGAGAUGGUCAACAGGAAUCUGAAAUGGGCCAGCUCCAUUCAUUCUCUGGCUCCCACAAGCAGUGAUUUCUGGUUCCAGCACAAUGGCAAGGCAGAGAGGCCACGAGGACUGGAGGUUAUCCAGGAGUACAGUCCAAGUGCAG